rnacentral:rRNA from 1 species
AUUGAACGCUGGCGGCAUGCUUUACACAUGCAAGUCGAACGGUAACAGGCCUUCGGGUGCUGACGAGUGGCGAACGGGUGAGUAAUGCAUCGGAACGUACCCAGAGGUGGGGGAUAACGCAGCGAAAGCUGUGCUAAUACCGCAUGUGAUCUGAGGAUGAAAGCGGGGGACCGAGCAGCAAUGUUUGGCCUCGCGCCUUUGGAGCGGCCGAUGUCGGAUUAGCUAGUUGGUGGGGUAAAGGCCUACCAAGGCGACGAUCCGUAGCUGGUCUGAGAGGACGACCAGCCACACUGGGACUGAGACACGGCCCAGACUCCUACGGGAGGCAACAGUGGGGAAUUUUGGACAAUGGGCGCAAGCCUGAUCCAGCAAUGCCGCGUGCGGGAAGAAGGCCUUCGGGUUGUAAACCGCUUUUGGCAGGAACGAAACGGUGUCCGCUAAUACCGGGCGCUAAUGACGGUACCUGCAGAAUAAGCACCGGCUAACUACGUG